rnacentral:rRNA from 1 species
AUUGAACGCUGGCGGCAGGCCUAACACAUGCAAGUCGAGCGGCAGCGGGAAAGUAGCUUGCUACUUUUGCCGGCGAGCGGCGGACGGGUGAGUAAUGCCUGGGGAUCUGCCCAGUCGAGGGGGAUAACUACUGGAAACGGUAGCUAAUACCGCAUACGCCCUACGGGGGAAAGCAGGGGACCUUCGGGUCUUGCGCGAUUGGAUGAACCCAGGUGGGAUUAGCUAGUUGGUGAGGUAACGGCUCACCAAGGCGACGAUCCCUAGCUGGUCUGAGAGGAUGAUCAGCCACACUGGAACUGAGACACGGUCCAGCCUCCUACGGGAGGCAGCAGUGGGGAAUAUUGCACGAUGGGGGAAACCCUGAUGCAGCCAUGCCGCGUGUGUGAAGAAGGCCUUCGGGUUGUAAAGCACUUUCAGCGAGGAGAAAAGGUCAGUAGCUAAUAUCUGCUGGCUGUGACGUUACUCGCAGAAGAAGCACCGGCUAACUCCGUGCCAGCCGCCGCCGUAA